UCUUCCUUUCCCCCACGCUACACCCUUCUGCCAAGUUUCAUGCAAAUCAGGUGUUCCAUAAUUCCCAGACAGUCGGACAAACAGUAGAAAAAACCGUAGCUCCUUGGAAGAGACCCAGAGUCAGACACUCCCAUUCUCCUGCUCUCCCAUCAGUAGAUUAUCUCUGAUUGUUGAUGAUCUCCACUCACCUGCUGCCCUUUCCCUCAUCAGCUCACUAGUAUAUAUACAGUUUGUCAGAAUGUCUCAUUUAGUGUCUCAUUUAAUACUAAAGCCUGCCAGUACUUGACUUCUGCUCAAGUGUUUGACCUUGGCCUGUUUUCCCCCGAGCUGCGAGUUAGCUUAGCCUUUUACCUGGUUUAUCUUGGCUUAUCUUUCCGUGCUCCUUUGUCUUAACUAGACUCUGUUUUUUUUUAAAACCUGCCAGGGGUUGCUUGUACUUGAGAGGUUAGCAGACAGGAAGUUGUAUGAUAUUUAAAUGACCUCAGAGUGAAAGUCACAACAUGUGCAAUCUGAUAAGAUUAUGAAACCAUCGCAUUUCAGGAAUUCACUCAUUUUUAAAAGAUAUAAAACUUUUAUUCAGUUAGAUCAGUCAGUAUUACAGCUCCCAACUCUUUAUUCAAUUCAGCUUUUAACAGUCUCACACACAUUUCCUCUAUUUUGUUUUUGUAUUUGGAAAAUAACUCUAAUGCUGACUUUUUAAAAUGCAUAAUAAACCUGCCUAAAAAUGACCUAAAUAACUGCCUAAAAUGUGUGUUUUUUUUAACAUAAUACAAUUGUAUUGCCCCAAAAUUGGUACGGUAGAUCAGAUGAGUUAGUGUACGUCUAUAACAUAUCUGGGACAUAUCUGUAA